UAUAUAUAUGUGUGUACAUGAGUGUAUAUGUAUAUAUACAUACACACUCAUGUACAUUCAUAUACA
rnacentral:pre_miRNA from 1 species